rfam:Triticum aestivum genome assembly, contig: Triticum_aestivum_CS42_TGACv1_scaffold_000361_1AL
UACGUACUCCCUCCGUCUGAAAAUAUUUAUUAUCAAAAUGAAUAAAAAAGAUGUAUCUAAAAUUAAAAUAUGUCUAGAUACAUCAUCUUUUAUCCAUUUUAUUAAUAUUUUCAGACGAAGGGAAUACAUA